rnacentral:rRNA from 1 species
CCUACGGGAGGCAGCAGUGGGGAAUCUUGCGCAAUGGGCGAAAGCCUGACGCAGCCAUGCCGCGUGAAUGAUGAAGGUCUUAGGAUUGUAAAAUUCUUUCACCGGGGACGAUAAUGACGGUACCCGGAGAAGAAGCCCCGGCUAACUUCGUGCCAGCAGCCGCGGUAAUACGAAGGGGGCUAGCGUUGCUCGGAAUUACUGGGCGUAAAGGGAGCGUAGGCGGACAUUUAAGUCGGGGGUGAAAUCCCGGGGCUCAACCUCGGAAUUGCCUUUGAUACUGGGUGUCUUGAGUAUGAGAGAGGUGUGUGGAACUCCGAGUGUAGAGGUGAAAUUCGUAGAUAUUCGGAAGAACACCAGUGGCGAAGGCGACACACUGGCUCAUUACUGACGCUGAGGCUCGAAAGCGUGGGGAGCAAACAGGAUUAGAUACCCUGGUAGUCCACGCCGUAAACGAUGAUUGCUAGUUGUCGGGAUGCAUGCAUUUCGGUGACGCAGCUAACGCAUUAAGCAAUCCGCCUGGGGAGUACGGUCGCAAGAUUAAAACUCAAAUGAAUUGACGG